rnacentral:rRNA from 1 species
CCUACGGGCGGCAGCAGUGGGGAAUAUUGGACAAUGGGGGGAACCCUGAUCCAGCCAUGCCGCGUGUGUGAAGAAGGCCCUCGGGUUGUAAAGCACUUUCAGUGAGGAAGAACGCCUGGUGGUUAAUACCCAUCAGGAAAGACAUCACUCACAGAAGAAGCACCGGCUAACUCCGUGCCAGCAGCCGCGGUAAUACGGAGGGUGCGAGCGUUAAUCGGAAUUACUGGGCGUAAAGCGCGCGUAGGUGGCUUGAUAAGCCGGUUGUGAAAGCCCCGGGCUCAACCUGGGAACGGCAUCCGGAACUGUCAAGCUAGAGUGCAGGAGAGGAAGGUAGAAUUCCCGGUGUAGCGGUGAAAUGCGUAUAGAUCGGGAGGAAUACCAGUGGCGAAGGCGGCCUUCUGGACUGACACUGACACUGAGGUGCGAAAGCGUGGGUAGCAAACAGGAUUAGAUACCCUUGUAGUC